rnacentral:rRNA from 1 species
AGAGCGAACGCUGGCGGCAUGCCUAACACAUGCAAGUCGCACGGUCGGGGGGAGACUUCCGGCAGUGGCGGACGGGUGAGUAACGCGUAGGGAUCUAUCCUUGGAUGGGGGACAACCGCGGGAAACCGCGGCUAAUACCGCAUGAUGCCUGAGGGCCAAAGCUCGCGAGAGCGUCUGGGGAGGAGCCUGCGUCCGAUUAGCUUGUUGGUAAGGUAAUGGCUUACCAAGGCGACGAUCGGUAGCUGGUCUGAGAGGAUGAUCAGCCACACUGGGACUGAGACACGGCCCAGACUCCUACGGGAGGCAGCAGUGGGGAAUAUUGGACAAUGGGCGCAAGCCUGAUCCAGCAAUGCCGCGUGGGUGAAGAAGGUCUUCGGAUUGUAAAGCCUUUCGGCGGGACGAUGAUGACGGUACCCGCAGAAGAGCCCGGCUAACUUCGCGCCAGCAGCCGC